rnacentral:rRNA from 1 species
UCAUCGGGAACUUUGGCCAGAAGAGGCUUGGUGCCCGAAAGGGAGCCGUAACACAGGUGCUGCAUGGCUGUCGUCAGCUCGUGUCGUGAGAUGUUGGGUUAAGUCCCGCAACGAGCGCAACCCUUGUCAUUAGUUGCCAUCAUUUGGUUGGGCACUCUAAUGAGACUGCCGGUGACAAACCGGAGGAAGGUGGGGAUGACGUCAAGUCCUCAUGGCCCUUAUGAGCAGGGCUUCACACGUCAUACAAUGGUCGGUACAGAGGGUUGCCAAACCGCGAGGUGGAGCUAAUCUCUUAAAGCCGAUCGUAGUCCGGAUUGGAGUCUGCAACUCGACUCCAUGAAGUCGGAAUCGCUAGUAAU